rnacentral:rRNA from 1 species
CGCGUAGGUGGUAGUGUAAGUCUGGGGUGGAAUCCCAGGGCUUAACCCUGGAACUGCCUUGGAAACUGCAUUACUUGAGUCAGUGAGGGGAGGGUAGAAUUCCUGGUGUAGCGGUGAAAUGCGUAGAUAUCAGGAGGAAGGCCUGUGGCGAAGGCGGCCCUCUGGCGCUGGACUGACACUGAGGCGCGAAAGCGUGGGGAGCAAACAGGAUUAGAUACCCUGGUAGUCCACGCCCUAAACGGUGGGCACUAGGUGUAGGGCUCGUAAGGGUUCUGUGCCGAAGGGAACCAUUAAGUGCCCCGCCUGGGGAGUACGGCCGCAAGGUUGAA